AUGUUUUAUGUCUACCCACACUACACACCCUGUAAUAACAUGCUCCCACACUACACACCCUGUAAUAACAUGCUCCCACACUACACACCCUGUAAUAACAUGCUCCCACACUACACACCCUGUAAUAACAUGCUCCCACACUACACACCCUGUAAUAACAUGCUCCCACACCACACACCCUGUAAUAACAUGCUCCCACACUACACACCCUGUAAUAACAUGCUCCCACACUACACACCCUGUAAUAACAUGUUCCCACACUACACACCCUGUAAUAACAUGUUCCCACACUACACACCCUGUAAUAACAUGUUCCCACACUACACACCCUGUAAUAACAUGUUCCCACACUACACACCCUGUAAUAACAUGCCCCCACACUACACACCCUGUAAUAACAUGUUCCCACACUACACACCCUGUAAUAACAUGUUCCCACACUACACACCCUGUAAUAACAUGUUCCCACACUACACACCCUGUAAUAACAUGAUCCCACACUACACACCCUGUAAUAACAUUCUCCCACACUACACACGCUGCAAUAACAUUGUCACACACUACACACCCUGUAAUAACAUGUUCCCACACUACACACCCUGUAAUAACAUGUUCCCACACUACACACCCUGUAAUAAGAUGUUCCCACACUACACACCCUGUAAUAGCAUGCUCCCACACUACACACCCUGUAAUAACAUGUUUCCACACUACACACCCUGUAAUAACAUGCUCCCACACUACACACCCUGUAAUAACAUGUUCCCACACUACACACCCUGUAAUAACAUGCUCCCACACUACACACCCUGUAAUAACAUGCUCCCACACUACACACCCUGUAAUAACAUGCUCCCACACUACACACCCUGUAAUAACAUGCUCCCACACUACACACCCUGUAAUAACAUGCUCCCACACUACACACCCUGUAAUAACAUGCUCCCACACUACACACCCUGUAAUAACAUGCUCCCACACUACACACCCUGUAAUAACAUGCUCCCACACUACACACCCUGUAAUAACAUGUUCCCACACUACACACCCUGUAAUAACAUGUUCCCACACUACACACCCUGUAAUAACAUGCUCCCACACUACACACCCUGUAAUAACAUGUUCCCACACUACACACCCUGUAAUAACAUGUUCCCCACACUACACGCCCUGUAA
rnacentral:lncRNA from 1 species